rnacentral:lncRNA from 1 species
UUGCAUGCUGUAGACUUUUAAUAAAUAUUUGUUUAAUGAACCAAUGAACAGGAGACAUUUACACUGGGGGUGUAAACAAACUUGAGUUGAGACACCCCCACGACACACUUUCUUUCUGCCCGGCAGUGCCCUCAUUGUCUCCCCUGGCACCACACCAUCGCAGCCCCGCUCAGUGGCCGGCCAGUGACAAAAGGGUGAUGUGGGGAUGCGGCCACCCAACGCAGCAUUAAUUCUCACCCUCCACGUCUGCGUCUUGUCAAGGUUUUCAGAUCGUCAUCGGAGGGGAAGUGUGAGGGACAGAGAAAGUUACGCAAAAAUGUUAGCUGCCGUGGAAACGGACGACAGAAUGUUAGCGCAAGUCAGUUGGCAAACAGAAGUGUCUCCACGAAUGCGGAGCCUAGGGCAGUGCCCGGCAGGUGGGAGCUGCUCACUACGUCUGGCAUCCCAACUCCACAGUUCAUCAGCUGCUACGGACACAGCUUGUCAGGAGGGACUCUCCCCUCCAGGACGUUCGGCCCCUUGGAGAAGCCGAGGAGGCACCCAGCCCCCAGAGACAGAGACCUUGAAAUACUCCAGGAAAGACCCUCGGCACACGGGCUGUGCUGCACACUCACAAAUCCGCUGCAAGCACUGCCCUCUUGUGGUCACGCCGCAGAUGAGACACUUCCUACAGGACGGCUCGUGCACAGUGGAAAUGGGUUCCCCGUCAGGAAGAGUCCGGCUGAUCCUUCUGUCCAUGUCGUGCACAGACACCUACAAGCGAGUGGGACGUGACAUCACGUUAUUCUCCUCUGUCAUGAAAGAAUAA